rnacentral:rRNA from 1 species
CCUACGGGUGGCAGCAGUAGGGAAUCUUCCACAAUGGACGAAAGUCUGAUGGAGCAACGCCGCGUGAGUGAAGAAGGGUUUCGGCUCGUAAAGCUCUGUUGGUAGUGAAGAAAGAUAGAGGUAGUAACUGGCCUUUAUUUGACGGUAAUUACUUAGAAAGUCACGGCUAACUACGUGCCAGCAGCCGCGGUAAUACGUAGGUGGCAAGCGUUGUCCGGAUUUAUUGGGCGUAAAGCGAGUGCAGGCGGUUCAAUAAGUCUGAUGUGAAAGCCUUCGGCUCAACCGGAGAAUUGCAUCAGAAACCGUUUAACUUGAGUGCAGAAGAGGAGAGGGGAACCUCAAGUGUAGGGGUGGGAUGCGUAGAUAUAUGGAAGAAAACCAGGGGCGAAGGCGGGUCUUUGGUCUGCAACUGACGGUGAGGCUUGAAAGCAUGGGUAGCGAACAGGAUUAGAUACCCCGGUAGUC